rnacentral:piRNA from 1 species
UGGCUACUCGGAGCAUUCAGCUCAGUU